GUAGUGCUACAGCACUUUUCAUACUGCGUAAUUUGGCAGGUAGCACGCCGCCAUUUGAAGUCGGGGAAGGCACACUCAUUGGAUAUUCAAGCACAUGUUGACUGAAGUCAGCAGCAACUUUGCGAUUCAGCUUCCCGCCCAAGAUUGAAUCACCACGUGAUAGUUGAUGCAUUAAAUAAACGGCUUUGUUAACAGUUCAUUCAAUACAAAAUAACUCGAGCCGCGUCCGAGGGAAAGCGCUGGGCGAUUUUUUCAAAUGGACUAUCUGCUGACUAAAAUGACCUGUAAUGUGCUCUGCCGACACUUUACGCAUAAAAAUUUUACAUUACUUAACCUCUCAUCGCGUUUUGUCUCAGCCGCAAGCAGGGGCAAGUCUCUCCUAACACCUGCGGCAACAGAUGUGCUACGCCGGAACAAAGGCUACGCCUUAAAAUGCGUGUCAGUAAAGCAUUGACCACUCAUUACACUUACUUAAGCUUUAAUGACCAGUAUUAUGUUACGACACACUCUGCUGUCGAUUUACGUUAUUCGUAUGACAAAUGCAGCAACUUUGUUGAACCAGCCACAAGUACAACACGAGUUGGUAAAUAGGGCAAGGCAGUCAUACACUCAAAUGUUGCUUGUUCAUCUAUUACCGUACGUAACUGCAGCAAUGACUCUGCCCUGAACACAAAUAACACAGCAAGUUGCAAGAAAUGGGAGUAUAUUGCUAAACAAUGUGGAAUGUCCCACAGCCAAGUAAAGUGACAUACAAUAUUACCCAUGUAGGUUGCAUGAUGUAUUCGAAAUAUUUCCCCAUAAUAUGCAAAGUGGCAUAAUAGGGCAGUCGGCCUUCAUGAGACCUAUGCUGAAAAAGUAAACGUUCAGUGCUGAUAUAAAUUUUAUACAGGGUGCCAAAUAAGUUGCUACACGCUGGAAGUUUCUUUCGACACCAGGAUCUAGGAUGCUUUGGAGAGAAAAAUAUACAGUACCACCCAAAACUCCGGAAAUGGUAUGAAAGCCAAUUUACUGGUCAUUAAGAUUAGAUGCUGAGAGUUAUUAAAUUCUGGGGUUUUACAAGACAAAACUACAAUCCGAUUAUCAGGCAUGCCGUAGUGGGAGAGACUGGAUUAAUUUUGACCACAUCGGGCUCUUUUAAUGUGCACCCACUGCAUGGUACACAAGUGUUUUUUUGCAUUUCACCCUAUCAGAAUGCGGCCGCCGCAGCUGGGAUCGAACCAGAGAUCUUGAGCUCAGCAGUGCAACGCUAUAGACACUGAGCUACUGCAGCAGGCGCUGAGAUAGUUGAGAAAGGGUAGCACACAGCUCUGACAUCAUGUACCUUUCUCUUGCAGGAUGGGGCAAAGAAGGAAGUUUAGUGUACCAAGCGGUCAAAUCCAUCAUAGUUGGAAGAGUGAAUUCAGACUUUUUUAAAAACCUGUGAAAUGAUACCUAAACAUAUCCACAAUCUCAUUGGCACAAUUUUAUGUACAUUAGUUGGCAUAGUGCACAAUAAAGUGAAGUUUCAUUGAC